GGCUCAGAACGAACGUUGGCGGCGUGGAUUAGGCAUGCAAGUCGAACGAAUCUCAGAGGCUGUAGCAAUACAAUCUCUGGGGAAAGUGGCGAAAGGGGCAGUAAGGCGUGGGUAACCUACCCCGGGGACCGGGAUAGCCUUCCUAACGGAAGGGUAAUACCGGGCGAUGUGGCCGAUACGCAUGUUUUGGCCAUGAGAUGAAUUUCGCCUCGGGAGGGGCUCACGUGGUAUUAGCUAGUUGGUAGGGUGACGGCCUACCAAGGCGAAGAUGCCUAGCGGGUAUGAGAGUACGACCCGCGCCACUGGCACUGAGACACUGGCCAGACUCCUACGGGAGGCUGCAGUCGAGGAUCUUCGGCAAUGGGCGCAAGCCUGACCGAGCGACGCCGCGUGAGCGAUGAAGGCCUUCGGGUUGUAAAGCUCUGUCGGGGGGGAGAAAACCGCAAGGUUGAUCUAUCUCCGGAGGAAGCACGGGCUAAGUUCGUGCCAGCAGCCGCGGUAAGACGAACCGUGCGAACGUUGUUCGGAAUCACUGGGCUUAAAGGGCGCGUAGGCGGGCUGUCAAGUCCGGGGUGAAAUCUUUCGGCUCAACCGGAAAAGUGCCUUGGAUACUGACGGUCUCGAGGGAGGUAGGGGUAUGUGGAACUUCCGGUGGAGCGGUGAAAUGCGUUGAUAUCGGAAGGAACGCCGGUGGCGAAAGCGACGUACUGGACCUCUUCUGACGCUGAGGCGCGAAAGCCAGGGGAGCGAACGGGAUUAGAUACCCCGGUAGUCCUGGCCCUAAACGAUGGGUACUAGAUUGUAGACUUGAUAUGGGUUUACAGUCGAAAGCAAAGUGAUAAGUACCCCGCCUGGGGAGUAUGGUCGCAAGGCUGAAACUU
rnacentral:rRNA from 1 species